GAAUGGGGACGUUAAAUCAGAUGCCUCGUGUAAAGAGAGAGCCACGCUCUUUGCACGUUAAGAACCCUUGCAACAACUCUUUGAGGGGUCCGUAGGUGGCUGUUGCAAGGCAAAAUUUCUGUCCCUAUCCAAUAUACCCUCAUUUUCCAGUGGCAGUCCAAAUUUCCCCGACCAUCAUCCUAGAUGGCCUCUAUUACAACAACCUACCUAUUGUUUUUAUUGUGAACUUGUUCUCGUCCUGAAUAUGCAUGAAAUAUUUGCCACUGGACGUUAAGCAACCAACAAUCAAUCAA
rnacentral:lncRNA from 1 species